rnacentral:sRNA from 1 species
GGCAUAUAAUUGGUUGCAUUUCUUAUCGUUAUUAACAUUUAAUCUUAUUUCUUAUUCCCCUGCAGGUUAUCUUCAAGCCGUUAUUUAUAAUUUCGUGCUCGGCAACAUUUCCGGCAUUUUUAACCAGAAUACAUUUUUUGUUGGCGACCUUCAUACAAUACCGGAAACCAAUAAAAAAACGGCCAGAAGUUAUUGCCAGUCAACAAAGGAAAGGAAAACAAGGGGAGAAAUAUAAACACAGACGCAAUAAUUUUGGGCCCUUUCAUUCCCGGUUCGCACUUUCGGAAAUUUACUUAAUUUAAAUUAGUCGUGAGGAGGCACGAAAUGGAACAGACUCACUCGGAUGAUAUGGGCGUGGUCUCGCCCGUGGCCGCCGCAAAAAAUAAAUAUCCAACUUCAAAAAUUCUUAACUGCAAGCCGGU